rnacentral:rRNA from 1 species
UACGUAGGGUGCAAGCGUUAAUCGGAAUUACUGGGCGUAAAGCGUGCGCAGGCGGUUAUGCAAGACAGAGGUGAAAUCCCCGGGCUCAACCUGGGAACUGCCUUUGUGACUGCAUAGCUAGAGUACGGCAGAGGGGGAUGGAAUUCCGCGUGUAGCAGUGAAAUGCGUAGAUAUGCGGAGGAACACCGAUGGAGGCAAUCCCCUGGGCCUGUACUGACGCUCAUGCACGAAAGCGUGGGGAGCAAACAGG